GGGGACGAUGAGUGAGUUUCCGCAGUUGAAGGUGUGUUUCGUGGAUUUCAUGUAUUUGGCGUAGGUUGUGAGCAAGAAUGUUAUCGAUGUCACGUAUUGUAGAUUGCUCUGAGUGUACUUUGUUGACGAGGAGGGAGAAUUUGGAAGGAUCUUGCACAUGAAAUUCUCAGCUGCUUGCUUGUAGGGCUCAAAGUUGUUGUCUUUGUUUAGUACUGCUCUCUGCGAAAGAUAUAGUUUGUGAAUCGUUGAACUAAUUAGGAAAUGCUUAAGUUUGUGUAUGUGAAUUUAUAAGGAUUGGGCCAUACUCGUGAGAGAAGAACAUAGGCACCGGCGUAUUUAUUGUCCCAACUGAAGAUGUCAGGCUGAUCUCCACCUCCUAAGGAUUUUAUGAAGUUUGUGUAAUACGGGUCGUUGGUUGCUCUAUGCAGCCAUGCCGCUCCCCACACCAGCUCGUCCUGUUACCAUAAGAUUGGAAAGUGUAGUUUGGUUGCAAUGAUUCAUGGAUAUGUCUCUCUCAGAUUAGGAUCAUGGUAAACAUAUGAAUGCAGACCUUGUAGCCAGAGUAGGAGCAGUAAAAAGGACAGACGGAAGAGGAAAGGGAGUCACUAUAAGCGCCUCGGUAUUGAAUUGCGAACUGCAUGACCUUCUUUGCUGUCGCCAGGAGCAAGCGAGAGUACUUGGGAUCAACUUUCCUGAAAACCAUGGAGCUUGCAGCUAGAGCAGCAGCGGUUUCAGCGGCUACAUCAGAGCCAGGGUUUGAGGAAGAUACAGAGUAGACUGUGCGAGGAGUGUCCAUAUCUUCUGGGCGUUCCCAGCACUUGUGAUCACCAUUAGGGUCUCCUACUCCAACAUAAAGCUUCCCGGGUGUGGCCCUGGCACAUUUCAGUAGAUAGUCUGUGGCCCAACGGAUGGCCACACGGGAGUUCUGGAGUUCGGAUCCCAUCUUCUUACCAUACUCCAAAGAGCUCCAGGAGAGCAUCGUGGUAGUGAACGCCAUAGGGAAAUUGAACUUCACAUUGUCCCCAGCAUCAUAGUAGCCUCCUGUCAAGUCCACCUGCAACUCAUCAUAGUUAACCAUGUUAUCCAAAUUGAUGUUAUACGCUUCUACUGCUACUGGCAAUGGGUAUAUAGUUUUAGGGUCUUACAUGAGCAGAGGAGCCAUCAGAGAGGCCAGAGCUAGACCUCCAUGAGAGUUUUUGAUCACCGGGGAGGCGGCCAGACCGCUGACCUUGGAAAAAGAGUAAUGACUUUGAGAGUGCUUCUCUGUAAUUGGGACUGGCAUAUGUAUUCUCCAGUGAAAGUGCAGAGAGAAGGAGGAACACAAAGAAGAAAGGAGAAGCCAUUCUUGUAAUUGUGUUGGCUUGAAGGUACGACUUCAUCACACACGUAUAUAUAUAGCCAGAGAAUGAGACCGGGGCUGAUGAGAUUCAGAGCGAAGAUUAUGGCUUUUUGAAUUUCAGCUUAACUGCUAAAAAAACGGUUCUUAGUUACUUCAAUUUGAAUCCCCUUUUCUAUUUUUUUUACUAAUAGUUUAUAGAACUGACAAGUGGAUAACAUGUACUAUUAUCUCUCAUCUUCUUAAUAUGUUCAAUUUUUAACUAA